rnacentral:rRNA from 1 species
CCUACGGGUGGCUGCAGUGGGGAAUAUUGGCCAAUGGGGGGAACCCUGCUCCAGCGACGCCGCGUGAGUGACGAAGUAUUUCGGUAUGUAACACUCUAUCAGCAGGGAGGAAAAUGACGUUACCUGCCUAAGAAGCCCCGGCUAACUACGUGCCAGCAGCCGCGGUAAUACGUCGGGUGCAAGCGUUCUCCGGAUUUACUGGGUUGAAAGGGAGCGUAGACGGUGCAGCAAGUCUGAUGUGAAAGGUCGGGGCCCAACCCCGGGACUGCCUUGGAAACUGGUGUACUGGAGGACAGGAGAGGUAAGCGGAAUUCCUAGUGUAGCGGUGAAAUGCGUAGAUAUUAGGAGGAACACCAGUGGCGAAGGCGGCUUACUGGACUGUAACUGACGUUGAGGCUCGAAAGCGUGGGGAGCAAACAGGAUUAGAUACCCCGGUAGUC